rnacentral:rRNA from 1 species
UACGUAGGCAGCGAGCGUUGUUCGGAGUUACUGGGCGUAAAGAGUGCGUAGGCGGUGUUCCAAGUCUGUUGUGAAAUCUCCCGGCUCAACUGGGAGGGUGCGGCGGAAACUGGGACGCUGGAGUACGGGAGAGGUAAGCGGAAUUCCUGGUGUAGCGGUGAAAUGCGUAGAUAUCAGGAGGAACACCUGCGGUGUAGACGGCUUACUGGACCGUAACUGACGCUGAGACGCGAAAGCGUGGGGAGCGAACAGG